CCGGUUGGUUCCCGGUUGCAGGAAAGAACCGCUUCCGAUCAUUCUCGAAGAAGCCAUCGAUUACAUACCUGCGCUCGAGAUGCAGGUUCGCGCCAUGGCGGAUCUCGCUCAGUUACUCCUCGGCUCCUCCUCUUCCUCCUCCUCCUCCUCCUCCGCCGCCGCCGUAUCCUCCUCCGCGCCGCCGAGUUGAUCCACCUUCCGGCGACUGUGCCGCGUGUCAUAUAUUUUUCUCUCUUGAUUUUUGUUAUUAUUUGCCUCGUUUUCACCCUCACUCGUCUCGGCUUAUGUUAAUUGUCCAGUAC
rnacentral:lncRNA from 1 species